rnacentral:rRNA from 1 species
AACGAACGCUGGCGGCAUGCCUAACACAUGCAAGUCGAACGCCCUGGUUCGCCAGGGAGUGGCGCACGGGUGAGUAACGCGUGGGAACCUGCCCAGCAGUACGGGACAACCGCGGGAAACUGCGGCUGAUACCGUAUACGGCCUGAGGGCGAAAGAAUUUCGCUGUCGGAGGGGCCCGCGUCGGAUUAGGUAGUUGGUGGGGUAACGGCCUACCAAGCCUGCGAUCCGUAGCUGGUCUGAGAGGAUGAUCAGCCACACUGGGACUGAGACACGGCCCAGACUCCUACGGGAGGCAGCAGUGGGGAAUAUUGGACAAUGGGCGCAAGCCUGAUCCAGCAAUGCCGCGUGAGUGAUGAAGGCCUUAGGGUUGUAAAGCUCUUUCGCCCGCGACGAUGAUGACGGUAGCGGGAGAAGAAGCCCCGGCUAACUCCGUGCCAGCAGCCGCGGUAAUACGGAGGGGGCUAGGCGUUGUUCGGAAUUACUGGGCGUAAAGGGCGCGCAGGC